GUCUACCGCCACACCUCCCUGAACACACCCGAUCUCAUCUGAGCUCUGAAGCUAAGCAGGGUUGGACCUGGUCAGUACUUGGAAAGGAGAUAAUGAUUUCUAAAGCCUGUUAACA
rnacentral:rRNA from 1 species